AUGAACGCUGGCGGCGUGCUUAACACCUGCAAGUCGAGCGAGAAGUUUUGAAAAGAUUCUUCGGAUGAAAUUUAAAAUGGAAAGCGGCGGACGGGUGAGUAACGCGUAGGCAACCUGCCCCAUACAAAGGGAUAGCAUUUGGAAACGAAUAUUAAUACCUUAUGAAACUUAACUAGUGCAUGCUAGGUAGGUCAAAGAUUUAUCGGUAUGGGAUGGGCCUGCGUCUGUUUAGCUAGUUGGUGAGGUAACGGCUCACCAAGGCGACGAUCAGUAGCCGACCUGAGAGGGUGAACGGCCACAUUGGAACUGAGACACGGUCCAAACUCCUACGGGAGGCAGCAGUGGGGAAUAUUGCACAAUGGGGGAAACCCUGAUGCAGCAACGCCGCGUGAACGAUGAAGGCCUUUGGGUCGUAAAGUUCUGUUCUAGGUGAUGAAAACUGACAGUAACCUAGGAGAAAGCCCCGGCUAACUCCGUG
rnacentral:rRNA from 1 species